GUCCUUCUUGAGCCACAGACCUUUUUUAAAGCCACCAUAACUCCUUAGAUCACAGAGUAUUUGCUCACCCAACCAAGGAAAGACUCUACCUUAGGCAACAUGCCAGGCCUUACACAGGGAAGGGACAGAGGAUUCAGCUUCGGCAACCUGACAGAAAGGCACAGGGACUGGGAACUCUGAGCAGGUGACUAACUCAGACUUCUGGGACAGAAAAAGCUUCCCAAGGGAAAUGAAAUCCAAUCCACGAAGGCCCUGUGGGAAUAAGGAUGAGCCCGAUGAGAGGAUAAAGGAGAAGGAAGCUAUUUAAACACCUCAGCCAUCUGCCUGAUCCAUUCAGAUUCGUGCUUACAGACAUCACCCGGCAGACAGUGUGAGCAAUCUCUGAGGACACCGCGCAGCAUAUAGGAACAAGUUCCUGUUCCCGUCUAUCAUCCGACACCUAGCCAGACUCGGCUAGCAACUCAGCUGACUGAAGAGGAACAGAUUAGAAUAGCUCAGCGAAUAGGCCUUAUACAGCAUCUGCCUAAAGGAGUGUAUGACCCUGGAAGAGAUGGAUCAGAAAAAAAGAUCCGAGAAUGUGUGAUCUGUAUGAUGGACUUUGUCUAUGGGGACCCAAUUCGAUUUCUGCCGUGCAUGCACAUCUAUCACCUGGACUGUAUAGAUGACUGGUUGAUGAGAUCCUUCACGUGCCCCUCCUGCAUGGAGCCAGUUGACGCAGCCCUGCUUUCAUCCUAUGAGACUAAUUGAGCCAGGGGGUCUCGUCUGACUUCAAGUGAACCAUCAGCUUUGGUGGUUUUGAUCUUUUGUCACUGAGCCCAAAGAGCCAGGGAUUAGGAAUUAAGAUCAUGCACAAAAGUUUCCUACAGAUUCCUGGAUGGCUGCAGAUGUUGAGGAAAGUAUGUGAUAUUUUAGAAACUUAGGGGGAAAGUAGGAUGGAUGGUAUUUUUAUGUAAAGCCUUGACCCAGUGUUUAAAAUAUAAUUGUCAUCAGACCUUGUUCUUGCUCCAGUACAUAGGAAUUGUGUAAAGUGUUACAGCAACUGUACAUGUUUAAAUCGUGUGUGUUGAAGCUUAGGAAAAAGAUAUAGUUGUUAUUUUUCCUAAAUGAAAUAAGUUUCUUCUCCCACCCAAAUUCUUUUCUGAAAAGUUACUGACAUUUGGGUCAAGGUUUUAUUAAAAGCUACAUUUUAUAACACUGGCACAAAAAAGUAGUUUUAAGCUUGUUUGCACAGUUCUUUUGUUCCAUUGGAAAUGGAAUUCAUUGCCUUAGGUCUUUUUAAAUAGUGUAUUAUCGUUGGGGCUGGCUCUAUGCUUGAAAACCAGUUUAUUUAUAACCUGUUGUAAGUGCUAUGUUCUGUUUGCAGUUAGGAAAUGCAGAAUUCAAAGUGAUCUCCUAGCUUGUGAGCAAACUGAGAUGCACUAUCCCUUUUCUAUUAAAAAUGAGUUGAUGUGUCAGGAAACCAAGGCUAGCAAAGUGGAUUUGAUAUCCCCUUCCUUGUGUGUCUUAUUGUUUUGGUUGUUAAAAUGGUGAUAAUUGAAAGUCAAGUUGAAAUUCAAAUAUUAAUAUUUCUGAUUUAUUGAGCUUUGAACUAUGCCACCAUGCUUAUGUAAAAAUGAAGGUGGCACCAUGAUGAAACUUAGAGAAGUUUCUCAGCUGUAACAGUUUUGAUUCUCUUUCCUGUGACCUCUUUCCCCACCGUCUGGAACCAUAGCAAAAGGAUACUGCAUCUCUUGUUACUGUAGUGCUGGGGUUAUUGAAGUUACAGAAACACAUCUAGUCUGUUUCACAGAAAGGUAUAUCUGUUAAGUCUCGCUAAGUGACUGACAGGACAGGUAAAUGUGUUUCAUGUUUUGCACACCAAUGCAGCAGGAUUUGUAUAACCACAUGACUUUAUAGUUGUGAUCUCAAAGGAACUUCUCCUUUUUCUUGCAAUUAAUGUAAGAACACUCUAAAUCUCUACACGUCUGAAGGAUUAGAGGUAGAAAUGGUCUAGUAAAGAUGUAAUGUUUAUCCAUUUAGCAUGUGUUUAUUUUUCCUUAUGUUCUCGAGGUAAUUUGUUCCUUCUACUCAGUGACAUUGUAGUUAAAAAUGAUGAACAGAAGCACUCCACCUUACAAAUGAAAUGAUGUUCUUUUAUAUUGUGUUGAGUACUUGACUAACACGUUUUUACAUACAAAAGCUUCUUGAAGGCCCUCAUAAUUGCGUUAUGGAAGAAAUUGUCAUAAAUAGUUAAUUGACAUUCAGUCGAUUAACUGUUCAGUGUUCAUAACCUUGCUUAGUUUCCCAGUGGAUCCCAUGAUGGAAAUACUUAAAGAUGAACUUGGAAAAUACUGAAAUUAGAUUAUCAGGUUCUGUUAAAUGGUCACGUAUCUCUUGCUUAAUUUCUGUUCAUUAAUUUAUAUCCACCCAAUUAUAAAGUAAAUUUGGAGGAAACAGCUGAAGUUGUGCCAUAUUUUUAGUGAUAAUUCUUUUCUAAUCCUUAUGUUUUCUAAUUAUACACAUGUGUCAUCAAGUAUUACAGUCAGACUUUUUUCCUAGGUUCUCAAAAUUUGUAAAAAAUCCUUUUCCCAGUCUGUCAUGUUGAAGGCUUUGGUAAGAAUAAUACCACCACCACUAGCAACAACAACAACAACAGACCCCUUCUGUCUCAGAAAAGUACUCUCAAAUGAGUGCUCUUGGGUGAUUGCUAUUCCUUUUAACUUUAUUCUGUACAUAACUAUGUUAAGAACCAUCAAUUUUUAGCAUCUACUAAAUUAUUAAAAGUUAUAAUACAGCCAUCAGUGCUUAAAGUUAAGAGUUAACUUAAGAGUUAACAUGUUCCCUAGAAUAUCAAAUCUUUUUUUUAAAAAAACCCACGCAUAAACUUAAGUUGUUUUUACACACACACACACACACACAC
rnacentral:lncRNA from 1 species